rnacentral:rRNA from 1 species
UGGGGAAUAUUGGGCAAUGGGCGAAAGCCUGACCCAGCGACGCCGCGUGAGGGAAGAAGGUCUUCGGAUUGUAAACCUUAGUUAGCAGGGAAGAAGAAAGUGACGGUACCUGCAGAGAAAGCCACGGCUAACUACGUGCCAGCAGCCGCGGUAAUACGUAGGUGGCGAGCGUUAUCCGGAAUUACUGGGUGUAAAGGGUGUGUAGGCGGGCAAACAAGUCAGAUGUGAAAUCCCCAGGCUCAACCUGGGAACUGCAUUUGAAACUGUUGGUCUUGAGUAUCGGAGAGGUAAUCGGAAUUCCUUGUGUAGCGGUGAAAUGCGUAGAUAUAAGGAAGAACACCAGUGGCGAAGGCGGAUUACUGGACGACAACUGACGGUGAGGCGCGAAAGCGUGGGGAGCAAACAGGAUUAGAUACCCUGGUAGU